UGUUGCCCGAACGGAUCGAGUCUAAUUUUCACGCUGUUUUGUGUGAUGUACGACUCUAUGCGGUGGAUCACUCGGCUCGUGUGUCGAUGAAGAGCGCAGCCAGCUGCGUGAAUUAAUGUGAAUUGCAGGACACGUUGAACAUCGACAUUUUGAACGCACAUUG
rnacentral:rRNA from 1 species